rnacentral:rRNA from 1 species
ACGAUUGACGGAGCGAAGCGACGUCAAUGCGUUUUACAAAGUCGAGUUGGCUUAGGGAUACGUUCGUUGGGUAGGGGAGCGUUCUGUAAGCCUGUGAAGGUGGCCUGUGAGGGUUGCUGGAGGUAUCAGAAGUGCGAAUGCUGACAUAAGUAACGAUAAAGCGGGUGAAAAGCCCGCUCGCCGGAAGACCAAGGGUUCCUGUCCAACGUUAAUCGGGGCAGGGUGAGUCGACCCCUAAGGCGAGGCCGAAAGGCGUAGUCGAUGGGAAACGGGUUAAUAUUCCCGUACUUGGUGUUACUGCGAAGGGGGGACGGAGAAGGCUAUGUUGGCCGGGCGACGGUUGUCCCGGUUUAAGCGUGUAGGUGUGUGUUCCAGGUAAAUCCGGUUCACUUUAACACUGAGGCGUGACGACGAGGCACUACGGUGCUGAAGCAACAAAUGCCCUGCUUCCAGGAAAAGCCUCUAAGCAUCAGGUAACAUCAAAUCGUACCCCAAACCGACACAGGUGGUCAGGUAGAGAAUACCAAGGCGCUUGAGAGAACUCGGGUGAAGGAACUAGGCAAAAUGGUGCCGUAACUUCGGGAGAAGGCACGCUGACAUGUAGGUGAAGUGAUUUACUCAUGGAGCUGAAGUCAGUCGAAGAUACCAGCUGGCUGCAACUGUUUAUUAAAAACACAGCACUGUGCAAACACGAAAGUGGACGUAUACGGUGUGACGCCUGCCCGGUGCCGGAAGGUUAAUUGAUGGGGUCAGCGCAAGCGAAGCUCCUGAUCGAAGCCCCGGUAAACGGCGGCCGUAACUAUAACGGUCCUAAGGUAGCGAAAUUCCUUGUCGGGUAAGUUCCGACCUGCACGAAUGGCGUAAUGAUGGCCAGGCUGUCUCCACCCGAGACUCAGUGAAAUUGAACUCGCUGUGAAGAUGCAGUGUACCCGCGGCAAGACGGAAAGACCCCGUGAACCUUUACUAUAGCUUGACACUGAACAUUGAGCCUUGAUGUGUAGGAUAGGUGGGAGGCUUUGAAGUGUGGACGCCAGUCUGCAUGGAGCCGACCUUGAAAUACCACCCUUUAAUGUUUGAUGUUCUAACGUGGACCCGUGAUCCGGGUUGCGGACAGUGUCUGGUGGGUAGUUUGACUGGGGCGGUCUCCUCCUAAAGAGUAACGGAGGAGCACGAAGGUUGGCUAAUCCUGGUCGGACAUCAGGAGGUUAGUGCAAUGGCAUAAGCCAGCUUGACUGCGAGCGUGACGGCGCGAGCAGGUGCGAAAGCAGGUCAUAGUGAUCCGGUGGUUCUGAAUGGAAGGGCCAUCGCUCAACGGAUAAAAGGUACUCCGGGGAUAACAGGCUGAUACCGCCCAAGAGUUCAUAUCGACGGCGGUGUUUGGCACCUCGAUGUCGGCUCAUCACAUCCUGGGGCUGAAGUAGGUCCCAAGGGUAUGGCUGUUCGCCAUUUAAAGUGGUACGCGAGCUGGGUUUAGAACGUCGUGAGACAGUUCGGUCCCUA